UUCAUUUUCAUCAUCUUCGUUCAUCAUCUUCAUCAGCUUCAUCUUCAUCAUCUUCAUCGAUAACAACCCAAGGUAAAACAGAGAAUGGCUGCGGAUGUAAAGAUACGCAAAACACCAACUACGAAGGCGAGAACACUUGACAACCUCCUAGAAGAUGGUGCGGUGCACAUAAGGAAGUGAUUGAUAU